rnacentral:rRNA from 1 species
AACUGCCUGAUGGAGGGGGAUAACUACUGGAAACGGUAGCUAAUACCGCAUAACGUCGCAAGACCAAAGAGGGGGACCUUCGGGCCUCUUGCCAUCGGAUGUGCCCAGAUGGGAUUAGCUAGUAGGUGGGGUAACGGCUCACCUAGGCGACGAUCCCUAGCUGGUCUGAGAGGAUGACCAGCCACACUGGAACUGAGACACGGUCCAGACUCCUACGGGAGGCAGCAGUGGGGAAUAUUGCACAAUGGGCGCAAGCCUGAUGCAGCCAUGCCGCGUGUAUGAAGAAGGCCUUCGGGUUGUAAAGUACUUUCAGCGGGGAGGAAGGGAGUAAAGUUAAUAAC